AUUGACGCAAAUGUAAAGUGAUGUGCUGUGUACCUAAAAUCAAACAAAAUGUGGGAAGAAGAAAAAAGUCGAUGAUUAACAGGAAUAGGGAAGAUCCGUAACCUAAGCGUGUAAACAUGCGAAAUGAUCAAUUAGAAAGCAACAGACAUGACGACAAAAGCCAUUUACGUUGAAAUGCCACUAUACUUGUACAGUAUGUACCAUAUAUUUAUGCCACAGGAUACUUACAAUAAAAAACUAACCCUAUAAUUUACGCAAAGCUAGUCAGUGUUUUAAUGUUCUAUGCUUGACAUUGUGCUUACAGAUUUGAAUCUAAUUACUUUCAAAAUACGUAAUUGCUAAUUGGUAGUGCUUUGAUUUUAAAAUGUAAUCGAGGCUUUAAAGGCUAAAGAACAUUAUGUAGGGGCUUUGGGCUUAUAGCUGUUUUGCUAAGGGUUUGCCUAUAUCUGACUGUAAGCCCUACAAAUGAAAAUUUAUAGAAGAUUUUGAGGUAAAUAAUUGAUAUUGCAGACCAGUGUUAAUCAUGUCCAAUCAUUUAAGUAAACAUUAAACUAAUUCAAUAAUACUGUUAAUUCAUUCAUAGUAACUAUUUUCAGUUCCAGUAAGUUAAAAAGAAUUUGAAGAUGCAUUACAUAUUGAUGAAAUUAUAAAUUUGUUCACUUCUAUCAAAAAUGUGGGUAGUUUCAACAUUCUUUACUUUGUAGCAUUCUCUACUAUUGUGAAACAAGAAUAUUGACAUGUCAGUGUUUUUGUAGCAGUCCUGUUUCACUCUAAAAGGUACCAGUACUUAAAGUCUUGAAGAAAUCAUGAAAUUACCCUUUUUUCAUUGGUAACAAUAACAGAAAAUAGUACUUAGUACAUUAAGCAAUUAGUGCUGUUAGUCUUUUCUUAUAAAUAUUUAUUAUGGAUAUAGGGCCUGCAGUUAACUCUGAAUGUGGGAAUGAUUGUAUGGUGAAAACUAAGACUAUGGGUAAUAUGGACACGAAUAAGUUGAUCAAAAGGUGGGAUUGUUAAAUUUUAUUAAUGAACUGUUUUUGCAGUCAAAUAAUUGGACUGAUUCUCAGCUCUUUGUAGUAUUUUGUCUUUUAUUGUAUGUUAUUAAUUUAAUAGUGUAUUUAAUCUGUUUUUGUUGCACUUUUCAGCACAAUUUGGGUUGCAAAUGAGAUGAGAUCACUAUGAAAUUUAUUUUGCUUAGGCUAAGGCUUUAGGAGGCUAAAUUAAUUAUAUUUGAAUACUCUGUCAUUAUGAAAACAUUGGUUUCUCUUUCACUCUGCAAAGUAGUAAUACCUGCAGUCCUGAAGAAAGCAUGAAGCUGCCUUUAUUGCAUUGACAAUAAAAAUAAUGUGGUAUUGUUAAAAGAAUGGUUUAUGAUAUGAAUUGGUAAGUAACAAUUAAAAAUAGUAGAUGCGGUCCUGCAAAACUUCAAUUUCUUUGAUAUUUGUAACUUUCAAUAAAUAUAUUUUAAAUCAUGUUGUCAAAAGCAGAACAGCAGAAUAAAUGUCUGGAACUGUCGUUUCCGGCAAUAUGAAUGUUAAUACAAAGGAUAGACCGUUUAUUUUAAUUUUUUUUUUUUUAAACAUGAACUAUUACGUAUAUUAUGAUAUUAAUGUGGGAGUCUGAAGAAACCUGAUAAGGAUUUAACAUCAUAGCAGUGUUUAUUUCGCUUAUUAAUUAAUGGUUUUCUAUUUUUUGUUUUUAUUUAUUUAUAAUUUUUUAACAGUCAUCUUUAAAAUAUUAUUGAUUAAAAGUAUUUAAUUACUUUUUCUGUCCGUUUUUAUAGAUUGGCUAACAAAUAAAAAAGAUUGGGAAGUUAAUUUUAACCCUACCGAUGACAACAUGGGUUGUCUGACCUAGUAUGCUUUCUACACAUGUAAAUCAUGGAACGUUACAUUCUACAGUUAUUCAGUUGUCCACAGCAUAAAUUAAAUUGACAAAAUAAGUUGUCUCCUUUCUAUGGCGUUUUAUCUGUUCCAUCUUGAAGGCUGUUAUAUUUAACUGAUUAAGAAUUUAUUCUACAAGAACAUUAGAAGAACUCAAGAUACCAUUAACUUAUGGAGCACUGGUUGUAUUAGUCCUCAUUUGCUAUAGAAAAUAGAUGUACUUGUGGUCUUAAGGAAAGCAUGAAAGUGCCUUUUUUCCAUUGGGAGAGGAGACAGUGUGCUAAAGAAAGGAUUUAUGACAAUGAACUGGUAUGUAACAGUAUCAAUUAAAAAUAGUAAAUGAGGUUCCAGAAACUUCAAUUUCUUAAGACAUUUAUAACUUGCUUCAAUAAACAACUUUUGAACAAAACAGUAGGAUUAAUGUGGGAC